UCCGAGACUGUAUAGGGAUGGACUAUACAGUUGAGGAGGGCAUAAAAGAUUUGAUUGGUACUACUCAUAACAACAAGUUGCAACUUCUUUUCGGGAGCCCAACUGAUAAGAACUCCAUGGUUAAGUGUGCUUGCCUUGGAGCAAUAUUGUGAUGGGUGACCUCCUGGGAAGUUUUCCCGGGAAGUGCACGAGUGAGGACAAAGCGCACUGAACAGACUCGUGUUGUUACCGUGAGGCCAGUCGUCAGAUCGGAAUGUUACAAGUGGUAUCAGAGCCGACCUCUCCCAGUACGGUGUGGUUCGGGGACGAACCAAGCGGAAGUUGGUGGGCCUGUGACACCCGGGGCCGACGAGGACGGGGAGUGAUCGCCGGUGCAGUGAGGCACGGACAAGGAGCGGCUCCUGGCAGGCUUCUAGGCGGAGGGGCACAUGACUGAACCGAUCUCACACCCGAACAAGAGGUAUUCCGAGACUGUAUAGGGAUGGACUAUACAGUUGAGGAGGGCAUAAAAGAUUUGAUUGGUACUACUCAUAACAACAAGUUGCAACUUCUUUUCGGGAGCCCAACUGAUAAGAACUCCAUGGUUAAGUGAGCUUGCCUUGGAGCAAUAUUGUGAUGGGUGACCUCCUGGGAAGUUUUCCCGGGAAGUGCGCGAGUGAGGACAAAGCGCACUGAA
rnacentral:lncRNA from 1 species